rnacentral:rRNA from 1 species
UACGGAAGGCAGCAGUGGGGAAUAUUGGACAAUGGGCGGAAGCCUGAUCCAGCCAUGCCGCGUGUGUGAAGAAGGCCUUUUGGUUGUAAAGCACUUUAAGCGAGGAGGAGGCUACUAGUACUAAUACUACUGGAUAGUGGACGUUACUCGCAGAAUAAGCACCGGCUAACUCUGUGCCAGCAGCCGCGGUAAUACAGAGGGUGCGAGCGUUAAUCGGAUUUACUGGGCGUAAAGCGUGCGUAGGCGGCUGAUUAAGUCGGAUGUGAAAUCCCUGAGCUUAACUUGGAAUUGCAUUCGAUACUGGUCAGCUAGAGUAUGGGAGAGGAUGGUAGAAUUCCAGGUGUAGCGGUGAAAUGCGUAGAGAUCUGGAGGAAUCCGGAUGGGCGAAGGCAGCCAUCUGGGCCUAAUACUGACGCUGAGGUACGAAAGCAUGGGGAAGCAAACAGGGAUUAGAUAACC